rnacentral:lncRNA from 7 species
GACCUAUGUCAUAAGAGCUGUAGGAUGGGGUGGGAGCAACCCUAUAGAUCAUAGAGCUGUAGGAUGGUUGGGUUGGGAAGGACCCUAUAGAUCAUAGAGCUGUAGGAUGGGUGGGAGGGACCCUAUUGGAUCAUAGAGCUGUAGGAUGGGUGGGAGGGACCCUAUGGAUCAUAGAGCUGUAGGAUGGGUUGGAGAGACCCUAUAUCAUGAACCUGUAGGAUGGGUGGGAGGGACCUAUGGAUCAUAGAGCUGUAGGAUGGGUUGGAGGGACCCUAUAGAUCAUAGAGCUGUGGAUGGGUUGGGAGGGACCCUAUAGAUCAUAGAGCUGUAGGAUGGGUGGAGACGUAUGGACAUAGAGGCAUAGGAUGGGGUGGGAGGGACCAUAGAUCAUAGAGACUGUAGGAGGUGUUGGAGGGACACCUAUAGAUCAUAGAGCUGUAGAUGGUUGGGAGGGACCCUAUAGAUCAUAGAGCUGUAGGAUGGGUGGGGGACCCCAUCUAUCAUAGAGCUGUAGGAUGGGUUGGGGGACCCCAUCUAUCAUAGAGCUGUAGGAUGGGUUGGGGGGACCCCAUCUAUCAUAGAGCUGUAGGAUGGGUGGGGGGACCCCAUCUAUCAUAGAGCUGUAGGAUGGGGUGGGAGAGACCCUAUAGAUCAUAGAGCUGUAGGAUGGGUUGGGAAGGACCCUAUAGAUCAUAGAGCUGUAGGAUGGGGUGGGAGGGACCCUAUAGAUCAUAGAGCUGUAGGAUGGGUUGGGAGGGACCCUAUAGAUCAUAGAGCUGUAGGAUGGGUUGGGUUGGGUUGGGUUAGGAGCAACCUUUGGUUAUAGAGCUGUAGGAUGUUGGGUUGGGAAGACCCCAUCUAUCA